UUAAAAUCCUCUAUGCCAAGGUCCUGACAUUUUUACUCAUUAGAUCUAAGAUGAAGCUGAGGAAUCAGAGUUUCAUGUGGCAUUUCAGGGGACUCACAAGUGUGAUGUGGAAGUGUACACAGUAGAGGGGGUCCCAGCUGUGCUGAGUCUGAACCUACUUCUAUCGGAAGGCCACACAGGUGGAGCCCCUGCCCAGCCGGGACGCGGAAGCUCUGGUCUACAUCUGGCACAGGAUGGCUGGGGGGAUUCAAAAGGUAUUUUAUGCUCUGUUUUCUACUAAAGAACGUCAUUCCACAGCAUCUGACUCUGACAGCUGACUCAAUGCACACAUAUGCAAAACACAGUUUUCUGUGAGACAACUUCUGGGAGAGAAAAACAAGUUGUU